UUACAUCACCUACCCCUUAAAAGGAUUCCGUCCCCGAAAUCAAAAUAAUAUAACGUACCUAAUUUCCAAAGAGAUGCGAAUACUCCGCUCGAAUAGACUCCUCCAUCUCCCAAGUGGCUUCUCGCUCCGAAUUGUUCCUCCACAGAACCUUAACAAACGGAAUUGUUUUCCUUCUCAUAAUCCUCUUUUGACGAUCCAAAAUCGCCUCGGCUUGUUCCUCACAAGUAAUAUCCUCCCG
rnacentral:lncRNA from 1 species